GACGAACGCUGGCGGCGUGCUUAACACAUGCAAGUCGAACGGAAAGGCCCUGCUUUUGUGGGGUGCUCGAGUGGCGAACGGGUGAGUAACACGUGAGUAACCUGCCCUUGACUUUGGGAUAACUUCAGGAAACUGGGGCUAAUACCGGAUAGGAGCUCCUGCUGCAUGGUGGGGGUUGGAAAGUUUCGGCGGUUGGGGAUGGACUCGCGGCUUAUCAGCUUGUUGGUGGGGUAGUGGCUUACCAAGGCUUUGACGGGUAGCCGGCCUGAGAGGGUGACCGGCCACAUUGGGACUGAGAUACGGCACAGACUCGUACGGGAGGCAGCAGUGGAGAAUAUUGCACAAUGGGCGGAAGCCUGAUGCAGCAACGCCGCGUGCGGGAUGACGGCCUUCGGGUUGUAAACCGCUUUCGCCUGUGACGAAGAGUGAGUGACGGUAAUGGGUAAAGAAGCACCGGCUAACUACGUG
rnacentral:rRNA from 1 species